GCCUACCCGAUAUCGCGAAGAUGACUCACGUGCCGUGGCACGAAAAGGCUUGGUUUUCGUCGUAUUCGAAAUAAAACGAUUCUCCCGCGCAAUUCGUGACUUUCACCACGCCAACUUCGUUCUCGGACUACUCCGCGGUGCUCCGAGAUAAUUUCUAUCUUUAUCGGGAAGGAUGCGAUGUUACGAAACGGUAAGAGUUAAUGGCAACCGUUAACUAACGUUACGCAGAUUACGGUAGGACGUAAACAGAACGAUUACGAUUACAACAAAUGCUUUUUGGCCGGUCGGUACAUCGCGUCGGUUUCUCGAAACGAAUCUAGCGUCACCGGUUGCGAAAGUGUCAACUCACUGUGACCCAAAUAUUCUAUCUCUGGGAUUCAAUAAUCGUCUCCAAAUUGAAUAAUUUUUUUAUCUGGCAGAGAAGGCUGCGGGGUUAAUCCCCGGUCUCUUUUUAUUUGCGUACUCCUCGAUUGGAGGUUUCAACGCUUAUAGAGAAAAAGGAGCCUGGUGAAAUCUUUCUUCAACGAAGUAAAUUUUCCACCAGUUUUCGCGUAAAAAUUACAAGCUUCUAGGAGGGGGUUCUAGAGUAACCAUCGCCAAGAGAAUUUCGAUACAUCUACCUUCGGAGCUUGAACCACCAUCUUCAGAGCUUCCUAAAAAUGGCACCUAUAUAUUCACAGCAAAAAAAAAAAAAAAAAAAUAUUUUCCUACUCUCAGAGAUUCAAACAACCAUUACACAAAAGCGGAAGUUAGCCGAAGCAUUCGUUUCCUCGUAACUAAUUCCUAAAAACGACCCCACUUCUAACAUUUCCUUCAUUUCGAUACCUCCUUACAAAACUUCGUUGGACCAAGGCGCCACACUCGGGAUGGGGAAGAGGUCAGGCGUCCUUUUUCGCAAAGCACGCUAGUUUUCAAGAGCAAACUGCCGCGCGCUUCCUCGCUUCCUAGUCGCGGCGACGAAAUGCGGACGGCGUUACAUCAUACCGCGGCGAGAAAGAAAAACGAGCGUUUCAUAUGCAUCGAACCCGAUGCAUUUAGCAUAAAUUGCUGGCAAAGUGACCGAGGCGGGCUCGGGUUCCGCGGGCGAAGGGGUCAUGCACGAGCGAACCGAACGGUCAGACGAGGUUCUCGCAGGUAUCGUCGGUGGCUUCCUCUCUCGAGGCUGAGUGCGUGUACGUACGCAUCGUGGGCCAACGCCGCGGCUCGUACGGGGGAAACCAGUCACUCGUAUAAAACCGGCGUGCGAGUCGCGGCUCGAGUCAGUUUCGCUCGCGCCUCGCGUGAGUCUUGAUUACGGUUCGCGCGAUAACGGCCUAAUCCGUUCCCCAACCACGAAUUUCACUUCCACCGCGAGUGCGUCAUUUGUCCGGAGACCUGUUCUCGAUAUAUCCUGCCGGUGAACCAACCGGGACCGUGGGUCCUCUAACCCGUGCCAUCGUGUGCCUCAAAUCGUGACUCUGCGGUAUUAUGACGUCUCACGGCGAACGUCGCCGUGCCAGGAUCGCGUGGCGUCACGUCCCUCGGUGUGUCCAUCCAGAAGCAUGACCGCAGUAACGACGCUGGAUAGUUAGGGCGAGAGGGCGAAGGGACCGUCAGAGACGGAGGAAGAUCGGCGGAAGAGCCGAAACCAUCCGAAAAGGAAACGCGGAAACCAAUGAGCGAAUUUCAGGGUUCCGCCAAGGGAGAAUUAUCGAGUGGCAAGUUUCUUAACUACCAACUCCGCGAGUGCUCAAUUGGGACACGCCGAUUUUGUCGAGGCUCGCACAUUCUAAACUAAUUAAUUCCUUUGGUAUCGCGACGCGUGGACCAUAGGAACAUUCGAACCAAUUUCAAGAAGAAAAGAGAAAAAAAGGAAAGAAGUUCGGCCAAGGAAUAGUUUAAUUGAGGCUGCGAUCGACUUCGAGUUCGAAUUCGAGUUCAAGAUUACGUCGCUGCACGGACGAGCAAUUUCUGUGAUAACAAAGUUUCAAUCGACGCGGGGGAACGGAGGAUCCCAGAAAAGUUUAAAGGAAAGCACUGGCUUGGAAAAGCGAUUAUCGAUCCCAUCAGGGUCUAUUAAUUACCGGGAAUCGCGUUGGACCGGUGGGAGUACACAGAGCAAAGACUGACGUCGAAGAAACGGUUCGCUGGGAAAAAGUCCGCUCGGUGGCAGGCGUUGGCGUUUCACGUCGAAGGAAGAACACCCAGCGCGAACACGAGCGCGGUCACAGCGAGCUACUGGAUAGAAAUCGACACGGGAAACGUUCGAGAAAGCGGACGAUCGUUAAAGCCACCGCGAUAAGUCAUUAACGCGUUCUGGAGGCGGCCAAAGGCGUUGGAACAAUUACCGCGGCUGAGGAGACUUUAAAGCAGCCGAGGGGGGGAGAGCACGUGAGCGUAAUUGCUUUUCACCCUGUCUCUCUUGACGAAAAAUAUACGAUACAGAAGUAUAAACGUUCUUGCUCCGGUAAUUCAGCUCUGGUUCGCGUAAUUGCAAGAAAAAUUAAAUACAAUUUUCGACGUGGAAGCAAGAAAAUAUCAGAAAAUUUUUGCCAGCAAGGAGGAUCGAUACGUAACCGAUUUCUCUAAUUGAUAAAGCAGAGAAUUACGAUUAGAAAAAUUUGCGAGGAUCGCAAUCCUGUCGGUCCAGGCCCGUGGGAUAUCAGUGGGAUCGAUGCGUGGGUGUGUGCAUGUGAGUGAGUGAAACGGAGUGAGGAAGAAAGGAGGGGAAGGUGCGAGAGGAAAACUCGUCGAAGUUAUUAGCGAACACCGUCGGUUCCAGUGCCGGUGUGAAAGAGCGUUAAUUACCAGCUCGUCGUCGGCGGGAUAUAAUGGCGGUACGUUGAAAGACGCACGUAGAGAAGGUCACGAAGUUCGUUUCACGAGACGAGCUGUUAUGACGUGACGAGAGGAAAACACUUUGGUGUACUUCCGUCGCGAGUAUUCCAGAAAGGAAAUCCACCAUGAGAGUGUCUGGAGUGGCUGCGCUGUUGAUCCUCUGUUGCGUCAUCGUUCGAAAAGCAAUUCGGCGCUAGAGUCAGCUUGCAGAAUUUCCCCCCGAAAGCCAUACAACUCGCAAUAUCCUCCAGCCAAGGUGGAUGCGUGGCAUCGAAUCCCGCGCCGUGGAUGUUGCCGGGAACAUGGAAGAAAGGCAGAAAUAGGUUGCGGUUGAUUCUUACCACGGAAUCGCUCGACGACAAAAUGGAAACGCGCGGCGACAAAAGUUUGCAUUCUGCUCGUGAUACAGACACAAUAGACGGCACAACGGAGCGUCCAAUAUAAGCGGGACGUGCGGUUCCCCGACUUAUUUGACGAAGCUAUUGAGACCAGCGCGGCCUUUCUCCCUUUCUGCGCCAUUCUUCAUUGGUAUGGCGCGUUGCGAGCCAAGGGAUGAAGGGCUGAGGGCUGAGCGUCAGGCAAAGGAUACGUGAGUGUUUAGAGGUUCUUAGUGGAGGGGUGAAACUGUGGUACGGCUAUGAGAAGGCAUGAAAAGGUGGAAAAAGUGGAUGGUAAUAACGAGUCCACUUGAUAUUUGUUGUCUAGUGAUCUUUGAGACUAUUUCUAAGGCCGAUCGCACAUGGGCCCAACCGAUCGGUUUCAAACCACUCUGAAACUACAUAGUUGCAUGCGGCGGUGGAUCUAGGUUAAACAAAGAUAGCGGAGUAGGUAAAAUAAAGAGCGCAAACGGUUUGCAACACUAAUUUCAAAUCAGCUGCGCCGUGUGCGAUCGGCCUAAAUGAAUUGGUUGAUUUUGUUCUCGAAGAUAUGUGAAAAUCAUUAACUUUGAGGUG